CCAAAGGCAAGUUCUUCCUGGUCAACUGCAGGCUGAGUGUUGUAACGAAUCCAUAGGCAAUCAGUCCCAGUAGUGGAAGAGGCACACCUGAUAAAUUCAAAAGCACAAAUCAUCUUAUCCUCUGAAAACAUCUUGAGGUUUUCACUAUUU